rnacentral:rRNA from 1 species
UGAUCCUGGCUCAGGAUGAACGCUGGCGGCGUGCCUAAUACAUGCAAGUCGAGCGAAUGGAUUAAGAGCUUGCUCUUAUGAAGUUAGCGGCGGACGGGUGAGUAACACGUGGGUAACCUGCCCAUAAGACUGGGAUAACUCCGGGAAACCGGGGCUAAUACCGGAUAACAUUUUGAACYGCAUGGUUCGAAAUUGAAAGGCGGCUUCGGCUGUCACUUAUGGAUGGACCCGCGUCGCAUUAGCUAGUUGGUGAGGUAACGGCUCACCAAGGCAACGAUGCGUAGCCGACCUGAGAGGGUGAUCGGCCACACUGGGACUGAGACACGGCCCAGACUCCUACGGGAGGCAGCAGUAGGGAAUCUUCCGCAAUGGACGAAAGUCUGACGGAGCAACGCCGCGUGAGUGAUGAAGGCUUUCGGGUCGUAAAACUCUGUUGUUAGGGAAGAACAAGUGCUAGUUGAAUAAGCUGGCACCUUGACGGUACCUAACCAGAAAGCCACGGCUAACUACGUGCCAGCAG